rnacentral:rRNA from 1 species
AUUGAACGCUGGCGGCAGGCCUAACACAUGCAAGUCGAACGAGUGGCGGAAGGGUGAGUAAUGUCUGGGAAACUGCCCGAUGGAGGGGGAUAACUACUGGAAACGGUAGCUAAUACCGCAUCCCAUCGGAUGUGACCAGAUGGGAGUAGCUAGUAGGUGGGGUAACGGCUCACCUAGGCGCCGAUCCCUAGCUGUUCUGAGAGGAUGACCAGCCACACUGGAACGGAGACACGGUCCAGACUCCUACGGGAGGAAGCAUGGGGGAAGAUUGCACAAUGGGCGCAAGCCUGAUGCAGCAAUGCCGCGUGUAUGAAGAAGGCCUUCGGGUUGUAAAGUACUUUCAGCGAGGAGGCGUUACUCGCAGAAGAAGCACCGGCUAACUCCGUGCCAGCAGCCGCGGUAAUAC